UUCAUCCUACGGGGCGCAGCAGUGGGGAAUAUUGCACAAUGGGGGAAACCCUGAUGCAGCGACGCCGCGUGAGUGAAGAAGUAUUUCGGUAUGUAAAGCUCUAUCAGCAGGAACGAGACAAGACGGUACCUGACUAAGAAGCCCCGGCUAACUACGUGCCAGCAGCCGCGGUAAUACGUAGGGGGCAAGCGUUAUCCGGAUUUACUGGGUGUAAAGGGAGCGUAGACGGCUGUGCAAGUCUGAAGUGAAAUGCCGGGGCUCAACCCCGGAACUGCUUUGGAAACUGUACAGCUAGAGUGCAGGAG
rnacentral:rRNA from 1 species